UUCCACUGCUGCUGCAUCCCUUGGCAUGUCAGAAAUGCUUGGAAACCCCAUCAACCUCAGUGGUGCCACAAGGCCUGCUCCAUCUCCCUCUAGCCCUGCCUCCUUCAAAACUGUGGCUCUUUUCUCCAAAAAGAAGGCAGCACCACCUCCCCCCAAAAAACCUGCUGCUGUUUCUCCUGCCAAUGAUGAACUUGCCAAGUGGUAUGGUAAGUCCUCCAGCUAUCUGUGUUUCAUCUCAAUUAUAUCGCUUCAACACUGUAAUUGAAAGAAGGAUAACUGAUAGUGUUUGAAGUCUCACAUUAACUAGAGAUAAGACUAAUUUAGUAUAUAUGACCAAUUUAGUGCAUAUAAAUAGGUGCAAACCUUAUCCUACAAUAUACUAGUUUUUGUGAAAUUGAGUUAGGCCUAAUGUAAUUUCUAACACAUAGUGUGUUUGGUUUCACAUCCAUAUCAUACCCUUCUUAGUUACUCUACAGUGUGAUUUGAACACUGUUCCAAACAGUUGCUGAUAAACUUUUGUUGUCCCAUUUGCUUGCAGGUCC
rnacentral:lncRNA from 1 species